rnacentral:lncRNA from 1 species
CCCACCCUCUGUCUCACUCCAGAUCUCUCUCACCUCCGGCCACUGGAGCAAAUCCCGGCGACCCUUCGACGCCAAUUUCCAGCCAUACGCAACCACCAAAACACCUUCCUCCUUCACUCACCCCUCCCCCUCGUUCCACUUUCAGUGGCGGCGACUCGGUGCGUUUCGGGGCAGGUCCAGGUUCACAACGUUUAGAUGAUACGAAUAAGAACCAUCUCGCCGGAAUACUCAUCAGAAAACCACGAUUCUUUCUUUCGUUCGCUUUAAAUCGAAGAAGUCAUUGAAGAAUAUCGUCGGACGUUUACAACGGAAACCACGUUUCAUUUCGCAUGAUGGUUGUUGAAUCACACGAACAGGAGAUGGACACGGGUUGAGGUUUGUUGAUGCUAUGAAAACGGACUAGCAAAGAUGCCUAG